rnacentral:rRNA from 1 species
AUUGAACGCUGGCGGCAGGCCUAACACAUGCAAGUCGAGCGGAUGAAGGGAGCUUGCUCCUGGAUUCAGCGGCGGACGGGUGAGUAAUGCCUAGGAAUCUGCCUGGUAGUGGGGGAUAACGUCCGGAAACGGGCGCUAAUACCGCAUACGUCCUGAGGGAGAAAGUGGGGGAUCUUCGGACCUCACGCUAUCAGAUGAGCCUAGGUCGGAUUAGCUAGUUGGUGGGGUAAAGGCCUACCAAGGCGACGAUCCGUAACUGGUCUGAGAGGAUGAUCAGUCACACUGGAACUGAGACACGGUCCAGACUCCUACGGGAGGCAGCAGUGGGGAAUAUUGGACAGUGGGCGAAAGCCUGAUCCAGCCAUGCCGCGUGUGUGAAGAAGGUCUUCGGAUUGUAAAGCACUUUAAGUUGGGAGGAAGGGCAGUAAGUUAAUACCUUGCUGUUUUGACGUUACCAGCAGAAUAAGCACCGGCUAACUUCGUG